rnacentral:rRNA from 1 species
GAUGAACGCUGGCGGCGUGCCUAAUACAUGCAAGUCGAGCGAACAGAUGAGGAGCUUGCUCCUCUGACGUUAGCGGCGGACGGGUGAGUAACACGUGGAUAACCUACCUAUAAGACUGGGAUAACUUCGGGAAACCGGAGCUAAUACCGGAUAAUAUAUUGAACCGCAUGGUUCAAUAGUGAAAGACGGUUUUGCUGUCACUUAUAGAUGGAUCCGCGCCGCAUUAGCUAGUUGGUAAGGUAACGGCUUACCAAGGCAACGAUGCGUAGCCGACCUGAGAGGGUGAUCGGCCACACUGGAACUGAGACACGGUCCAGACUCCUACGGAGGCAGCAGUAGGGAAUCUUCCGCAAUGGGCGAAAGCCUGACGGAGCAACGCCGCGUGAGUGAUGAAGGUCUUCGGAUCGUAAAACUCUGUUAUUAGGGAAGAACAAAUGUGUAAGUAACUAUGCACGUCUUGACGGUACCUAAUCAGAAAGCCACGGCUAACUACGUG